GAUGAACGCUGGCGGCGUGCCUAAUACAUGCAAGUCGAGCGAACGGACGAGAAGCUUGCUUCUCUGAUGUUAGCUGCGGACGGGUGAGUAACACGUGGAUAACCUACCUAUAAGACUGGGAUAACUUCGGGAAACCGGAGCUAAUACCGGAUGAUAUUUUGAACCGCAUGGUUCAAAGGUGAAAGACGGUCUUGCUGUCACUUAUAGAUGGAUCCGCGCUGCAUUAGCUAGUUGGUAAGGUAACGGCUUACCAAGGCAACGAUGCAUAGCCGACCUGAGAGGGUGAUCGGCCACACUGGAACUGAGACACGGUCCAGACUCCUACGGGAGGCAGCAGUAGGGAAUCUUCCGCAAUGGGCGAAAGCCUGACGGAGCAACGCCGCGUGAGUGAUGAAGGUCUUCGGAUCGUAAAACUCUGUUAUUAGGGAAGAACAUAUGUGUAAGUAACUGUGCACAUCUUGACGGUACCUAAUCAGAAAGCCACGGCUAACUACGUG
rnacentral:rRNA from 1 species